GUCCCUGUAGCGAAAUAAAUUGCGUGUUGGACUUCAAAUCCAAAGGUCGUGGUUUCGAAUUCCUCCUGGGUUGGACU